GUGAGGAGAGGGAAGGGUCAU
rnacentral:miRNA from 1 species